UUAAGGAGUGUUCAGACAGAUGGAAAACGUCAGCGUGUUAACCCAGUCGUGUUUCAGAUGCCCUGACAUUGUGCUAAAAGAACCAGCUCCUCAGAAUCCCUGCCACUCAGAUUUUGCUCUGGCAGCUCUCCUCAUACUCUCUUGGAGGUACCAAGCCGGGCGUGAGACCCCCUUCCCUGGAUUCACCAUGUUCACCCGCAAUACUCCGGUUCUUCCAUCUGCUCCUCCCGUCUGCCGUCAACUGUGGUGCGCUCUAGAUCCCUCGCCAGCAUUACCAUCUGUCAGCCCUCCAGUCACUCAGUCACCUGUUACCAUCAAUGAUCGUUCCAGCACUGACGUUCAGACCUCGCUCAAGCCACACGUUGUGUCUUUCCCCGUUGUCCGAGCCUUUAAUAAACAUC